UGUGUAGGCGGUUUGGUAAGUCUGGUGUGAAAUCUCCCGGCUCAACUGGGAGGGUGCGCCGGAAACUGCCGGACUCGAGUGCGGGAGAGGAGAGUGGAAUUCCUGGUGUAGCGGUGAAAUGCGUAGAUAUCAGGAGGAACACCGGCGGUGUAGACGGCUCUCUGGACCGUAACUGACGCUGAAACACGAAAGCGUGGGUAGCAAACAGGAUUAGAUACCCUGGUAGUCCACGCCCUAAACGAUGCAUAUUUGGUGUGGGUCAUUCAGUUGAUCCGUGCCGGAGCUAACGCGUUAAAUAUGCCGCCUGGGGAUACAGUCGCAAGGCUGAA
rnacentral:rRNA from 1 species